UGGUAUUUUAUUAAUUAUUAAAAUAUAUUUACUACUCAUUAUAAAUCAAAUUUAGCCAUGUAAUUAUGAAAAUAUAAGAAAUAUUUUACUGUUUAAGAUGACAAUGAAAACUCUUACGUGGUGAAGGUAGCAGUGAAACCCCAGUUUAAACACCUUCCUCACGAUCAAAUCUUGAAAGAAUUUAAACUCUUUAACAUCAUUUACAAAAAGUUAAAGUUUAGAUAUAAAAUAGUGGAAC